UCGCCAGGGGACUACGAGCAAAGCUUAAAACCCAAAGGACUUGACGGUACCCCAUAUCCACCUAGAGGAGCCUGUCCUAUAAUCGAUAACCCCCGUUUAACCUCACCAUUUUUAGCCUCUCAGCCUGUAUACCUCCGUCGUCAGCUUACCACGUGAGCGUUAUUUAGUGAGCUUAAUGUCUCUACAUCAAUACGUCAGGUCAAGGUGCAGUAAAUAAAAUGGGAAGAGAUGGGCUACACUCUCUAACUUAGAGUACACGAAUGACUAUUUAUGAAAUCUAGUCAGGGGGCGGAUUUAGGAGUAAAAAGAGACAAGAGAGCUCUUUUUAACUUGGCACUGGGUGUGU
rnacentral:rRNA from 1 species